rnacentral:lncRNA from 1 species
GUCGGGUUACCAGCGCGGGGGCUACAGUUAGCCUCGAGAACCUUUGCUUUCAGCCGGACUCCGGACUCCUCCGGGGACAGCGCAGCGCCCGCCAGAGCCCUCGGCGCUCCCUCCCGCUGGCGGCUUCCGCAGCCUUCAAGCCUUCUCUGUCUUUCCCAAGGAGCGCGAGGUGCUGAUUCCCCCCCAUGAAGUCUUUUUGGUUACCAGAUUCUCUCAGGAUGGAGCCCAGAGCUUGGUGACUCUCUGGAGCUAUAAUCAGACCUGUAGCCAUUUUAACUGCGCCUAUCUGGGUGGGGAGAAGAGGCGGGGCUGUGUGUCUGCGCCAGGAGCCCUGGGAACGGGUGACCUUCAUAUGACGAAGAGGCACCUCCAGCAGCCUUGAGAAGCAAGAACAUGGUUCCGGACCCAGCCCUAGCAGCCUUCUCCCCAACCAGGAUGUUGGCCUGGGGAGGCCACAGCAGGGCUGAGGGAACUCUGCUAUGUGAUGGGGACUUCCUGGGACAAGCAAGGAAAGUACUGAGGCAGCCACUUGAUUGAACGGUGUUGCAAUGUGGAGACAUGGAGUUUUAUUGAGGUAGCUACGUGAUUAAAUGGUAUUGCAGUGUGGAGACAUG